rnacentral:sRNA from 1 species
AAGCUCCCUAGAUGUGAUUUAGUGUUGGCAAAUCGAACCGGGCAUUCUUCCCCUAGCACAGCCCGGUGGUUAGACCCCGAACUUUUCUCCCCAUAGAAGUUCGGGGUUUUUUUUGCCUACUC